AUUGAACGCUGGCCGCAGGCCUAACACAUGCAAGUCGAGCGGAUGAAGGGAGCUUGCUCCUGGAUUCAGCGGCGGACGGGUGAGUAAUGCCUAGGAAUCUGCCUGGUAGUGGGGGAUAACGUCCGGAAACGGGCGCUAAUACCGCAUACGUCCUGAGGGAGAAAGUGGGGGAUCUUCGGACCUCACGCUAUCAGAUGAGCCUAGGUCGGAUUAGCUAGUUGGUGGGGUAAAGGCCUACCAAGGCGACGAUCCGUAACUGGUCUGAGAGGAUGAUCAGUCACACUGGAACUGAGACACGGUCCAGACUCCUACGGGAGGCAGCAGUGGGGAAUAUUGGACAAUGGGCGAAAGCCUGAUCCAGCCAUGCCGCGUGUGUGAAGAAGGUCUUCGGAUUGUAAGGCACUUUAAGUUGGGAGGAAGGGCAGUAAGUUAAUACCUUGCUGUUUUGACGUUACCAACAGAAUAAGCACCGGCUAACUUCGUG
rnacentral:rRNA from 1 species